rnacentral:misc_RNA from 1 species
ACGGUGGCUGGUUGUCAAAAGCAGCAUGAUGAUUUAGUUGAGACCGAGCAUAUUCUUCAGAUAUUCUAUCCAUGCAUCUGUCAGGCAAUUCCCCAAACUGCAUACGAUACCGAGAAGGGGGUGAAUUUGGAAAGUCUGGUACUGAUCUUGGAUCAUGGUGCCCAUGAUGCCUAGGAGAAUAAAAUGCAGGACUCCAUGAACCUUCCAUUUCAC